AAACGACGGCGUUUCAGAGACGGACGACGAGGAGAUUAACCGGCCGCGUCUUAGAAAAGUGUUAGUGGAAUCUCACAUUCCAACUGAAAAGGUAUCUGGUGAAGUCAGCAGUGUGAGAGAUCUCUCAUUCAGGUUGUUCUAAGACUUAGAGAGGAUGUUUUAGGAGAUAGAGGCAGUGUCUCUGCUAGGAAUCCUCCUCCUGCAAGAUCUGAUCAUGCCGGUUUCACACUUCCUCCUGUUGUAUCUUCUGUUCCAGAAUAUGCUCUGUAGAUUUUGAUCAGGACGAGAGACAGGGGAAAGCAGCUGGGAAUGGUUUCUUCAGACAGAUUCUAUGGUUAUGAAAGUAGUUUCCCGGCAAGAGAUCAUGGUUUGGUAUCAGUCGGGUCCAUACUCAUAUGGAGGGUAAGUUUUGCAAACUACAACAAAGAACUUGGCUUCUUCUUUAUCACUUUGUUUCAAAUGGUUUAAAACUUUUUUUUCUCGUGUAUUAGUUAUUGUUUGUCUUCUCAAAUACUUGUAAAAAUC